UGGGCACUAGAUUCAAGUAAUCCAGGAUAGGCUGUAAUGUCUCCUGUCAGCCUAUUCUCGAUUACUUGGGUCCAGAGCCAA
rfam:Xenopus laevis strain J chromosome 9_10S, whole genome shotgun sequence.